CGGCAGAAAACAAAUAGCGGAGGAGACUGAGGCAGAGAUGGAUAACACUUAACAACACCACAUCAAUUUCCAGGUGUACUUGUACGACAAACUUCAGAUAUUUCGACAUCUUCUGUGGUUGCAUCAAAUGCUGUGAUUGCUCGACACCUUGCCAAACUCGAGGAAGGCAUCAAGGAACUGCAAUUAAACCAAAAAGAAAUAUUGGAAAGACUACGCUCUGGAGCAACUGCGACGGCUGUAGCUGUUGGUUAUCAAGCCCUGUCCCUGCCAGAAGGAGUCAAUUUACCAUGCACCCAGAUCGAAGAGAUUAAAAAGAUUGAUGUCUGGCUAACAGUGGACGAAAAUUACAUGCUACUUGUUAACCACUUGAGCUAUGUAGGCGGUAACAAAACAUCAGCAAUAUUAAGGAGGAUUCUUGAAAAACUGUUUUCAAACAAACUUGCGGAAAUCUGUAAUUGGUCAGGCAAAAAUGGAAAACAUAAGCUACAAGAUCACCUUUUAAUUAAAGUUGUUACUGAAGCUCUCCGUCGGCACAAAGUCGCCGAAACGGCUACAGAAAACGAGAUAAAGACCGUGGUUAGCAACUGGUUCCGCUUCUCCAAAGAUAGAGAUGGAGGUCGAGAAAGCAGACGCAGGACAAUUGAGCCAACUUCUAUCCAGCAAUAAUCAACGUUACACAGGGCUGUCAACUAGAAAUAAGAAAAGACAUUUAGCCUUAAAGAUACAAGAAAUAUCUGUAGAGUUAAACGGGCUCAGUGGGGAAACUAGUCCACCUAAUCAACCAUAUACUGUAGAUGUCGGUAACAGUAAUUUUACGGAGUUCAGAGCUUUCAUUUUGUAUUUAGGCCCUGUUGUUUUACGUGGUGUGUUAAGCAAAACACUGUACGCGCAUUUUCUUUUAUUGCACUGUGCAAUUUACAUAUUAUGCACUGCAAAUAUUUGUAAACAUGAUGAAUGGCGACAGUACGCCGGCGACUUGCUACAUUGUUUUGUUCUAUACAUGUCAGAUUUGUACAGCAACGAAUUUCUUGUAUAUAACGUCCACAAUCUGCUCCAUUUGGCAGAUGACGCAUAUAACUUUGGCCAUCUUGAUAACUUUUCGGCAUUUCCCUUUGAGAAUUUUAUGUCUAAAAUAAAGAACAUGGUUCGUGGUCAUAACAUGCCAUUAGAGCAGGUUGCUAAAAGAAUGGGUGAGAAUUGUAACUCUGAAAAAAAGAAUAUUACUAAAAGAAAACCUAUUAAAGAACA